rnacentral:rRNA from 1 species
ACUGCCGGUGAUAAACCGGAGGAAGGUGGGGAUGACGUCAAGUCAUCAUGGCCCUUACGAGUAGGGCUACACACGUGCUACAAUGGCGUAUACAAAGAGAAGCGACCUCGCGAGAGCAAGCGGAACUCAUAAAGUACGUCGUAGUCCGGAUUGGAGUCUGCAACUCGACUCCAUGAAGUCGGAAUCGCUAGUAAUCGUAGAUCAGAAUGCUACGGUGAAUACGUUCCCGGGCCUUGUACACACCGCCCGUCACACCAUGGGAGUGGGUUGCAAAAGAAGUAGGUAGCUUAACCUUCGGGAGGGCGCUUACCACUUUGUGAUUCAUGACUGGGGUGAAGUCGUAACAAGGUAACCGUAGGGGAACCUGCGGUUGGAUCACCUCCUUA